ensembl:lncRNA
UGCUCACUAUUGUUAAGUCUUCCAUCUACAUCAAGACGACAUGGAGAUCAGAGCUCUCUGCAUCAGACUGUUGAUGACCAUCAUGAUUAUCUUGGGUGUACAGGAUGAGAAAGUUGAUGCAGUUUCUCUUCGUGUUGUUCCAAACAGAUUGCAGUUCUUUGAAUAUGAAUCAGUGACAUUUUAUUGUGAAGGAGUCGAUUAUUGUGAAGUUGUGCAUAGAAUUAAAGGAAAAAUAGAAUCAUGUAGUAAAACUAACAAGAGGACACCAACAGGAUCAUCCUGCUCCAUUCAAAUUGUUUAUGCAGACAACAGUGGAGAGUACUGGUAUGAGACUGAAGGAGGGAGAAGAAGCAACAUUAUCAACCUCUCUUUCACUGCUGGUCCUGUGAUCCUGGAGAGUCC